rnacentral:lncRNA from 1 species
CAUCAGAAGCAAUGCAUAACCCAAAAAAAAUAAAGAAAAUAAAAUAAAAUAAAAUAAAACCAAAUCAAAUAAAAUCAAAUAAAAUAAAAAAAAAUCAAAUAAAAGAAAAUAAAAUAAAAAUAAAAAUAAAAUAAAAUAAAAUCAAAACGAAAUUGAAAAAAAAAUUCAGAAACUGGGUUGCCUCCCAGCAAGCGCUCUUUUAACAUCAUUACCUUGGCCCGGUAAAGCCCAAACACCCCUCAGUAGGUGUUGAUUUUUAACGUUGGCGUUCUUCCUUCCUUCAUGACACCAACAAUCUUCUUGUCACCAACUCUAAGGAUCCUCAAUCUCAAGAGCUCUGCUUGCUUUAAUAGUCUUGACAACCCAUAACCUAAUCUUGAAUUUCAUUGAUGUGCCAGGUUAGGGUUUGUCACUUUUCACAUCAGGGCGUUGGUGAACAAAUUCUCCUUCCUUAUCUGCCUCC